GACGAACGCUGGCGGCGUGCUUAACACAUGCAAGUCGAACGGAAAGGCCCUGCUUUUGUGGGGUGCUCGAGUGGCGAACGGGUGAGUAACACGUGAGUAACCUGCCCUUGACUUUGGGAUAACUUCAGGAAACUGGGGCUAAUACCGGAUAGGAGCUCCUGCUGCAUGGUGGGGGUUGGAAAGUUUCGGCGGUUGGGGAUGGACUCGCGGCUUAUCAGCUUGUUGGUGAGGUAGUGGCUUACCAAGGCUUUGACGGGUAGCCGGCCUGAGAGGGUGACCGGCCACAUGAGAACUGAGACGCGGUCCAGAGUCCUACGGUAGGCAGCAGGAGGGAAGCUGACGCAAUGGGGGGAAGCGGGACGGAGCAACGCCGCGUGAGUGACGAAGGUCCUCGGAUCGUAAAACUCUGUUAUGAGGGAAGAACAAAUGUGUAAGGAACUAUGCACGGCUUGACGGUAACUAAUCAGAAAGCCACGGCUAACUACGUG
rnacentral:rRNA from 1 species